GCUGGGGGUUAGCUCAGUUGGUUGAGCAUGAGGCUCUUAAUCUCAGGGUUGUGGGUUUGAGCCCCAUAUUAAGUG